rnacentral:tRNA from 1 species
GGAAGGGUCGCAUAGUUGGUCUAGUGCGUUCGCUUGGAGAGCGAAUAUCUCUGUAAGGAGAUCGCGGGUUCGAAUCCCGCCCCUUCCGCCG